UAGACUGCUGGGUAUUCAAAGGACAGUGCAAUAUAAAUUCAGUAUCUGGCAUCGUUGGUUUUCUUGACUUUGUGCAUGUUAAACUGGUAUUUUUAUUGAGACAUUA
rnacentral:snoRNA from 1 species